AAGUCGUAACAAGGUUUCCGUAGGUGAACCUGCGGAAGGAUCACUAAAGUAAACGCCCUCCGGGGCUCUCUUUAUUCACACACCCCUGUGCACUUUGGUCACCUGCCGCGCUUCACUGCGUUAGUAGGUGUGUCUUUAUAAUUAUACCCAUAUACACAAGUCAUUGAAUGUAAAAUCGUUAUAAACUAAUAUAACUUUCAACAACGGAUCUCUUGGUUCUC
rnacentral:misc_RNA from 1 species